rnacentral:rRNA from 1 species
GGAAGGAUCAUUAUUGAAUGAACUUGGUGUGGUUGUUGCUGGCCCUCUCGGGGGCAUGUGCACACCCACCAUCCUCAUCUCUCCACCUGUGCACCUCUUGUAGACCUGGAUAGACUUUCCGAGGCAACUCGGUCGGGAAGAUUGCUGCGCUCUGUGAGCCAGCUUUCUUUGCAUGUCCAGGCCUAUGUUUUUCAUAUACCCCUAUAGAAUGUAACAGAAUGUAUCAUUGGGCCUUGUGCCUAUAAACCUUAUACAACUUUCAGCAACGGAUCUCUUGGCUCUCGCAUCGAUGAAGAACGCAGCGAAAUGCGAUAAGUAAUGUGAAUUGCAGAAUUCAGUGAAUCAUCGAAUCUUUGAACGCACCUUGCGCUCCUUGGUAUUCCGAGGAGCAUGCCUGUUUGAGUGUCAUUAAAUUCUCAACCUUAUUAGCUUUUGUUGAUAAUGGAUUGGAUGUGGGGGUUUAUUUUGCUGGCUUCUUCACAGAGAUCAGCUCCCCUUAAAUGCAUUAGCUGGUGCCCCGCGUGGACCAUCUAUUGGUGUGAUAAUUAUCUACGCCGUGGAUGUCUGCAAUCAUAUGGGUUUUGCACUGCUUCUAACCGUCUGUUCAUUCGGACAAAUACAUGACAAUUUGACCUCAAAUCAGG